UUUUCUUGUCCUGAGUGCCGCUUACUAACCCAUCAAAGCGCAGCUGGGCCAGGUCUCCCACUUUCAGAAGACUUCUCCUGGGACCCUGCGUUCGGAACCUUCCCGCUGCCGCAGAGCUGAUUAUUCCGUGUAGUGCAUUGUCUUACCAGAUUCCCAGCGCUUCACCGAGAAGAGAAUCAGGAAGUUUGUUUAAGUGAAGGCCCCAGCUCAAAUGCCACCUCUUCCAUGCAGACGUCUUUGAACAUAAUGACAGUGUGUGUCUGGGGCGAUCGCUUCUAUAAUAAACAGCGCUGAGUCAUCCUGCA